GAUGAACGCUGGCGGCGUGCCUAAUACAUGCAAGUCGAGCGAACAGACGAGGAGCUUGCUCCUCUGACGUUAGCGGCGGACGGGUGAGUAACACGUGGAUAACCUACCUAUAAGACUGGGAUAACUUCGGGAAACCGGAGCUAAUACCGGAUAAUAUAUUGAACGGCAUGGUUCAAUAGUGAAAGACGGUUUUGCUGUCACUUAUAGAUGGAUCCUCGCCGCAUUAGCUAGUUGGUAAGGUAACGGCUUACCAAGGCAACGAUGCGUAGCCGACCUGAGAGGGUGAUCGGCCACACUGGAACUGAGACACGGUCCAGACUCCUACGGGAGGCAGCAGUAGGGAAUAUUCCGCAAUGGGCGAAAGCCUGACGGAGCAACGCCGCGUGAGUGAUGAAGGUCUUCGGAUCGUAAAACUCUGUUAUUAGGGAAGAACAAAUGUGUAAGUAACUCUGCACGUCUUGACGGUACCUACUCAGAAAGCAACGGCUAACUACGUG
rnacentral:rRNA from 1 species